rnacentral:lncRNA from 1 species
AAUUUGAAAGGUACAUCAGCAACAAGAUAUUCAAUACAUAAAGCAUUAUGAUUAACAUCAGGGGAAACAAGUUCUAUGAGGGUUCUUUAGUCAUCCAUGUUAAACUCAAUAGAAAAGAAAAAAAAAGCAAACAAUGAGAAAACACAUAACUAAUUCAGCAAUGCAACAACAAAUAGGAAAAUAUCGACAAUGUCCCUAUUAGGUAAAAACAAUUGAAAUACAGAAAAAACGAUUAAAAUAAAAUACAAAAUACAAAAACAC